GUCCAGAGGGCCCCUCCUGCCCGCCACGUUUCCUUCCUGCUGGGGGGCUUCUGUUCUCCCAGACCGGGUCGGUGCUCUUUUCCCCCGGCGCCCCUCCCCCACCCAGCCCGGGCCUUGCCUGCCGCAGCCACCUUCUUCUCUGAUGCUGUGUCCUGGACUUGGUGACAAUGGCAAAUUGACAAGAAGGCGAGCCUGGGCCUUUCCUGCGGCGACAUCCAGCUUCCCCCGCCCCUCCCUGGGUGGGUGCCCACCACACGCCCAGCCUGCCGCGUGCUUAUCCAGGCCCUCCAGGCCAGGCCUCCGGGUCUUAUGGAAGAAGGCCCCGUGUCUGGGCAGUGCCGUGGCUGUGAGUGAGCAUCCGGGGCCAGUCAGAUGUGCCGUCUCCGGAGGUCACUUCCAUAGUGGCCAUCAACAGCUUGGCCAAACUCGGCCGCAGGAUCUUUUCCUAUCAAUUGCAGGAUGGACUCUUCCCGCAGCCAUGCGACCUGUGGCCCGCGGUCCUGCUCCCUGAGCUGGAGGAGGCUGAACAGAAUGAGCAGGUUGAGGCCUGUGGGAAGGAAGAGCCACAUCUCCUUCAUGUUUAUUACCCCCUCCGCAGGCCAUAGCUAGGAGGCCUUGAAGGUUUUUUUAAGGGGGAAAGGGGGUUUCCAGAACCACAGCCGGCUCAGCAGAAAGUCUCCACCAACAGAAUCUGUGGGCGCACAUUCCUCAACAGCUGAAGAAGGGGCUGGAGGGGCUCAUGGCAUCCCCUCCAGAGGCAGGCCCAGGGCCCUGUGUGCAGUGGGGGGUCCUGCAUCUGCAUUGUUGUUAAGAAAGUGACAUUUGGCUACAUGGAGUGACUCAUGCCUGUAAUCCCAGCACUUUGGGAGGCUGAAGCUGUCAGAUUGCUUGGGCCCAGGAGUUCGAGAUCAGCCUGGGCAACUUGGUGAAACCUCAUUUCUUUUUUUUUGAGACAGGGUCUCACUCUGUAGCCAAGACUGGAGUGCAGUGGCACAAUCUCGGCUCACCGCAACCUCCACUUCCCAGGCUCAAGUGAUUCUCCUGACUCAGCCUCCCGAGUAGCUGGGAUUACAGGUGUGCACCACCACGCCUGACUAAUUUUUGUAUUGUUAGUAGAGACGGGGUUUCACCAUGUUGGCCAGGUUGGUGUUGAACUCCUGACUUCAAAUGAUCCACCUGCCUUGGCCUCCCAAAGUGCUGGGAUUACAGGCCUGAGCCACUGCGCCCGGACUUUUUUUUUUUUUUGAGAUGGAGUUUCGCUCUGUCACCCAGGCUGGAGUGUGGUGGCAUGAUCUCGGCUCACUGCAACCUCCACCUCCCAGGGUCAAGUGAUUCUCCUGGGUCAGCCUCCGGAGUAGCUGGGAUUACAGAUUUCUUCCCGGUCAGCCCCAAACACUGAAUGUAAAUACGGUCCAACAUCAACCUGCAAACGAACACUGACAUGAAAGUGCAGUUGGAAAGGAUCUCGCAAAGGAACAGAAUCUGGUGAUCCUAAUCGUAAUGAACGUGAUCGCCGGGUAUUGAGAGCUUGCAGGUACCAGGGCUCCGGCACUACGUGUUUCACAGGGGCCACUCGGUAGACCUCUUGGUGACCUUGAGGUCAGGUACCACGUUCCCAUUUUACAGAGGAGGAAACUGAGAUAACCUACGACAGCGAAAAGGUAGCAGAGCUGGGACUGGUGCCCAGGCUCGCCGAGUGGAAAAGCCCUCGGCCACCGUGGAGAGCUCGCUUCCUGUGGUCUGAAGCGUCGCCCCUGCACCGGCUUCUGCUGCCAAGGAUGGCUUUUCCUCACUGGUGCCCACCUACGCUCACUUGUGUCAUGUGGUUAAGCCCUUUUGGCAACAUAAGACCUUUCCCAAGAAUGUGCCUCGGUGCAGAGGAAGACGGUGGGGGCAGGCCCCCUCCCCGGGAUGCUCCACCCUCCCUGACCUCACACGGGUGCAACCUGGGCCGUGGCCGAGACCUGCUGUGUGGCAGACAAUGGGAAGCCUGUGUGUCGUCCUGGGUGCCGGAUUUAGACAAUAUUUAGCUUUCCCUUGGUGGAAAAGCCUUUCCCCUCCUGCUUUGGGCAGGAACUGGUUCCUGUUGGGCGGGGCCUGGCUGCUGCCCCACCCCCACCCGGCCGGGCACCUUGACCGGCAGCUCUCCGGGCUGCUCCCUGCCUGUGUCCCUGAGCACUGACUCCAGAGGUUUAAUCAUUAACGGGCACGUUUGGCCUUCGGUCGUGGGCUGGAAUUUGGGACCUGUGCCCGGGAACAAUGAUCUCCGACACAUUAUUUUGUGUAAAAUCACUUUUAGCUGCCAUUAGCUAAUAAAGCUGGAAUAAAGUGAGGUCCAU
rnacentral:lncRNA from 1 species